rnacentral:rRNA from 1 species
CUCAGAUUGAACGCUGGCGGCAUGCCUUACACAUGCAAGUCGAACGGCAGCACGGGAGCUUGCUCCUGGUGGCGAGUGGCGAACGGGUGAGUAAUACAUCGGAACGUACCCUGAAGUGGGGGAUAACGUAGCGAAAGUUACGCUAAUACCGCAUAUUCUGUGAGCAGGAAAGAGGGGGAUCGCAAGACCUCUUGCUUUAGGAGCGGCCGAUGUCGGAUUAGCUAGUUGGUGAGGUAAAGGCUCACCAAGGCGACGAUCCGUAGCGGGUCUGAGAGGAUGAUCCGCCACACUGGGACUGAGACACGGCCCAGACUCCUACGGGAGGCAGCAGUGGGGAAUUUUGGACAAUGGGCGCAAGCCUGAUCCAGCCAUGCCGCGUGAGUGAAGAAGGCCUUCGGGUUGUAAAGCUCUUUCGGUGGGGAAGAAAUUGCACGGGUUAAUACCCUGUGUAGAUGACGGUACCCGACUAAGAAGCACCGGCUAACUACGUG